ACGGGAGGCAGCAGUGGGGAAUAUUGGACAAUGGGGGAAACCCUGAUCCAGCGACGCCGCGUGAGUGAAGAAGUAUUUCGGUAUGUAAAGCUCUAUCAGCAAGGAAGAAAAUGACGGUACUUGACUAAGAAGCUCCGGCUAAAUACGUGCCAGCAGCCGCGGUAAUACGUAUGGAGCAAGCGUUAUCCGGAUUUACUGGGUGUAAAGGGUGCGUAGGCGGCAUGGCAAGUCAGAUGUGAAAGACCGGGGCUCAACUCCGGGGCUGCAUUUGAAACUGCCAGGCUGGAGUACAGGAGAGGCAGGCGGAAUUCCUAGUGUAGCGGUGAAAUGCGUAGAUAUUAGGAGGAACACCAGUGGCGAAGGCGGCCUGCUGGACUGUUACUGACGCUGAGGCACGAAAGCGUGGGGAGCAAACAGGAUUAGAUACCCUGGUA
rnacentral:rRNA from 1 species